GAUGAACGCUGGCGGCGUGCCUAAUACAUGCAAGUCGAGCGAACAGACGAGGAGCUUGCUCCUCUGACGUUAGCGGCGGACGGGUGAGUAACACGUGGAUAACCUACCUAUAAGACUGGGAUAACUUCGGGAAACCGGAGCUAAUACCGGAUAAUAUAUUGAACCGCAUGGUUCAAUAGUGAAAGACGGUUUUGCUGUCACUUAUAGAUGGAUCCGCGCCGCAUUAGCUAGUUGGUAAGGUAACGGCUUACCAAGGCAACGAUGCGUAGCCGACCUGAGGGGGUGAUCGGCCACACUGGAACUGGGACACGGCCCAGACCCCUACGGGAGGAAGCAGAAGGGAAUCUUCCGAAAUGGGCGAAGGCCUGACGGAGAAACGCGGGGUGGGUGAUGAAGGCCUUCGGAUCGUAAAACUCUGUUAUUAGGAAAGAAAAAAUGUGUAAGUAACAAUGCAGGUCUGGACGGUACCAAAUAAGAAAGCCACGGCUAACUACGU
rnacentral:rRNA from 1 species